AGAGUCCACCACCUGAUAUUUUUAAAUCCACCUUGUGUUCGAUGUCGUGAUCGAUUGGUGCUAGAGCGCCGGGUUAUAAUAUUAAUACAUCUUGCUCCCACUUCGCGCGCAAAUGCGCUGUCGUGUAAACACACCUGUAGUUCUCCAGAGCAACACAUUCACAACAAGAAGUGUUCCACCGAAUCAUUUGUGGAAGAGCCUCUACCGGCAAAUUGCGCAUUGACACCAGCAGAACCUAGCGCUAGAGAUUCGUAACUCUUGUUAUUGGAUGAAACUGUUCAGAUUUGCCACGAUUUACAAUCCAAGCGUGAAAAAAGUAAAAGUGAAAUGGAUCGAUCCGAUGCUGCUUCUCCUUUAACUGAGCUGCCCCCAGAGCUAAUUUAUUCCAUUUUCGAAUAUCUUGAUCUCUGGUCGUUGAAAGCAGUUUCACUAACAUGCCAUAGACUGGGGGAAAUGUUUUCUGACUACUGUGCUCGUCGGCUGGUGCUGAGCAUCCGUGAUAAAAGAACACGCUUUAUAGCCCAUCCAUCCUUGAGAGUAAUUGCCAAAAAGGUGGAAGAGGCAACCAUUUUGCUAGAGAGUACAAAACGUCGCUAUCGCCGAGUUCAUCUCGAUGUGCAGUAUGAUCCUAAGACUGGUAGCAUCGAUCAUAUGCAAGCCGUACUCGACAAGAUUCUAGCAGUGCGCUUGAUGCAGGAUCUGGUAGAACUGAAGCUUGACUUAUCAUCGGUAUCAGAGAAUAUGGCAGUACAGUUGACGCACACGGUGACUAAGAUGGACAGCCUGAAGGAGCUAGUCAUACGUGAAGGGAAAAGUAACAAUCCAUCCGCUGUCUGUCAGCUGUACCUUGUCAACCGUUCGCUACAUAAGCUGACGUUGGUCUAUAUUUGGCCCGGCACGAUUAAUUGUCCCAAUUUGCGAUCCCUGGAAGUAGUGGCGAAAAUAGAUGUAGAAACCAUUUUAGGCAAGCAGUAUGCACUGCAUGGUAACGAGGAACCGUACUGGAAGUUGAAGCAUCUGAAAGAGUUUGUCAUUCAUUCACAAUUUGUCGAACAUGAAACUGUUUCCGGUAACUCCCGGAAACAAACAGUGGCCUAUAGGAGUAUGUUUUAUCGGCACUUAACACAGCUUAAGAAAUUGCAUAUUUUCUUUUUCACGCUACCAGAUGAGGUGCUGCAGGCCAUCGGCGAAUCAUGCGUCCAACUGGAGAACCUGUCGGUCGCGCACCUGCUCAGUUCCAAUCCGGAAUUAUUGCGGUCUUUAUCGAAUCUAGUUAACCUGCGACAGUUGGUAUUAUCAGGGUCUAAUUGCGGUGUAUUAUUCGAUUGCUUUUGCUUGCCCUAUCUGAAUAGACUUAUUAUCAACUGUAACAUUGACUGGCCAUCGUUAGCGAGACUUCAAUCGAUUAAGUCGCUUAUGAUAAAACUCGAACCCUCUAACGUGAAUCAAAUAUGUGAUCUUUUUGUUCGACAUGUGCGUCAGCUAAAAUUUUUAUGGUUGCAGUUUGAAAUUGGUUUAAAUAUCCGCCAGUGGUACCGAGAAAUAUUCGCAGCGCUCAGUAAGCUUCCUGAGCUGGAAACGCUUGUACUACAAACCGUUGUAGAAUUGGAUUACCUCCAAGAAAUGGUACCAUUAGAAAAGCUCACCCGGCUCGUUGUAUACGACACUCUACCGAGAGGACAGCCGGUUUUGCCGGUCGAUGUUGCAAAACGAGUCCCCAAAGUAGAUAGAAUCGAAGUUCCUUCCUUAGAACAGUUUAGCAACGAAAUGAUACAUCACUUUGGAAGUAAUAUUUUCGUAGCUUAGUUUAGUUUGAAGCCUCAAUGAAUGAGAAAAGACAAAUAAAAUGAAAUCAAUAAAUAAAUGCAAUCAAGAUCAUAUGAUUUAACAAA